AGAUUAGAAUUCUAUGCAUUUGGGGU
rnacentral:piRNA from 1 species